rnacentral:antisense_RNA from 1 species
AGGGUUCACUUGCAGACAGCAGAGUCUGCCCCGGCUAGUUACACAGAGGAGGAUUGAUUACCGGCUUUCAGUGACUCCCAGCAUCACUGCGGGGAGCGGGGGGUGCUGAAGAAAUUGAAGACACUCCAGGCUGCCUCCCAAAGCCACACAGCAGAAAGGGGCCACCGAGAAGCUGAGAUUCUGUCGUCACCGGAGAACCGCCUGCCUGCAGGCCAGCCCUGCAUGUGUGACUGUUGCUGCUGCGUGCACACCCGCUCAGUGCUGCCCUUCAUCCCACUUCCCCUCCCCAGCACAGGAAGGCGCCCCAGAGAGAGGCUGGAAUACACACUGUGUGAGCCAGUCUGCAGACUCUGCCAGAUGCCUAUGGAGACAUCCUUGUGAAAUUAGAAUAGCUCUUCUCAGUUUAUUUAUGGAAUCUUCUUGAAGAUCAAAGAUAAAGCACCGCUGUUGGUUUUGGUUUCCCCUAUUAUGACGGAGUCUGAAUGAAAGGUGGAAUAACCCUAAGAUCAUAAUGCUGUUGAUUUAAUGUUGGAAGCUCCUCCGAGGAAGGGACCAUGCCAAGAAUUUAUUUGCAUUUUACACAAAGGCUGUCAAAUGGGGCCAUCCUAGUGCCUGCGUGAUAGGGCAGCUGUCCUUGAAAUGAAGUAAUCACUCAAGCCCUUGUUGAAUGUGCACAAGAAUGAAUGAAUCAAUCAAUAAAUGAACCAAUGAUGCUCU